GACGAACGCUGGCGGCGUGCCUAAUACAUGCAAGUUGAGCGAUGAAGAUUGGUGCUUGCCCCAAUUUGAAGAGCAGCGAACGGGUGAGUAACGCGUGGGGAAUCUGCCUUUGAGCGGGGGACAACAUUUGGAAACGAAUGCUAAUACCGCAUAACAACUUUAAACAUAAGUUUUAAGUUUGAAAGAUGCAAUUGCAUCACUCAAAGAUGAUCCCGCGUUGUAUUAGCUAGUUGGUGAGGUAAAGGCUCACCAAGGCGAUGAUACAUAGCCGACCUGAGAGGGUGAUCGGCCACAUUGGGACUGAGACACGGCCCAAACUCCUACGGGAGGCAGCAGUAGGGAAUCUUCGGCAAUGGACGAAAGUCUGACCGAGCAACGCCGCGUGAGUGAAGAAGGUUUUCGGAUCGUAAAACUCUGUUGGUAGAGAAGAACGUUGGUGAGAGUGGAAAGCUCAUCAAGUGACGGUAACUACCCAGAAAGGGACGGCUAGCUACGUG
rnacentral:rRNA from 1 species